ACGAACGCUGGCGGCCUGCCUAACACAUGCAAGUCGAACGAGACCUUCGGGUCUAGUGGCGCACGGGUGCGUAACGCGUGGGAACCUGCCCUUAGGUUCGGAGUAACUCCCCGAAAGGGGUGCUAAUACCGGAUAAUGUCUUCGGACCAAAGAUUUAUCGCCUUUGGAUGGGCCCGCGUUGGAUUAGCUAGUUGGUAGGGUAAAAGCCUACCAAGGCGACGAUCCAUAGCUGGUCUGAGAGGAUGAUCAGCCACACUGGGACUGAGACACGGCCCAGACUCCUACGGGAGGCAGCAGUGGGGAAUAUUGGACAAUGGGCGAAAGCCUGAUCCAGCAAUGCCGCGUGAGUGAUGAAGGCCUUAGGGUUGUAAAGCUCUUUUACCCGGGAUGAUAAUGACAGUACCGGGAGAAUAAGCUCCGGCUAACUCCGUG
rnacentral:rRNA from 1 species